CACACACACACACACACACACACACACACACACACGCUCACCAAUGCAUACAUGUAAGCAACAUAAGACACACAAAUGCAUCCAACAAGUUUGUGGUCACAAGCUUGAUGUAAUCAUUGUGUGCUAGGAAUAUGGGACCUAUACAAAACAUUUGACUACUUUAAUACACAUUAGUGAAUUUGUCCCAAUCAUUUUGGUCCCCUAAAAUGGGGGGACUACAGUAUGUACAAAAAGUGCUGACAUUUCUAAACGGCUAACCUGAUAUGAUCCUCAAAUUACAGUUUUUUUCCAAUUGCUAACACACUAAAAUGACAUGCACAGCACAAUUAUUUAAACUGACACACAGAGAGCAAAACCUCUUCUCAAGUCUCCAAAAGUCUAAACACUUUUUCUGCUUUACACACAUUUUGCAAUUCAAAAUGGCACUUUUUAAAUGCACUGCACAUGGUUCUCUGCAUAAGACACAACAAUCUGACAUAAAGUCACAUGUUUGCCAUUUCAAACACUGCCAUUCAAAAUGACACUACAUGAGCUAAUUGGCCAAUACAUGUGCCACCUGGCCAAACACCUCAAUGGUUAAAUGUUACCACUUCAAUCAGGAAGUAAGCACUAUGAAAAGGCCACAGGUGAGCACCUUUUGUUUUACAACAACAAUGGAAGCCGUUGCAGAGAGAGGAAGAGGAAGAGGAAGAGGGAGGGUGAGAAUGAGAGGGGGAGGAAGAGUGAGAGGUAUGGGUAGAGCUGGUAGAGGAGUUCACGGCCAAAGAAGACAACUUUCAAAUGAAAUCAGAGCAACCUUAGUUGAUCAUGUCAUCAACCAUGGGCUGACAAUGUGAGAGGCUGGACAGAGAGUGCAGCCCAACUUGAGCCAUUUUACUGUCGCCUGUGUCAUUGAGACUGGAGUACAGGACUGAGAGACGCAACCAUGGUAGAGGAAGGGGCCAAAUGUUCACCGGGGUACAGGAAGCUGCCAUUGUAAACUUGGUUUUGGAAAAUAAUGAAAUCAGAUUACAAGAAAUUCAAAGCCACAUCAUCCAAGACAACACCAUAUUCAACAACAUUCAACGAGUCAGUCUGUCCACAUUGGCUCGCAUUCUCAAGUGAAACCAAAUCAGAAUGAAACAACUUUAUAAGGUGCCGUUUGAGAGAAACUCUCAAAGAAACAAAGAGGUCAGACGAGCAUAUGUGGAUGGAGUACUGGAAAUGGAUGCUCAUGCAAUCCCACAUGAGUUCAUCUUUAUAGAUGAGGCUGGGUUCAAUCUAGCAAAGACCAGAAGAAGGGGGAGAAACGUCAUUGGCCACAGAGCCAUUAUAGAUGUUCCUGGCCAACGUGGUGGGAACAUCACAAUGUGUGCUGCCAUCUCCAAUACGCAUGGUGUCCUCCACCGGAAUGCCAACCUUGGACCAUACAACACAGCCCAUAUUCUCACAUUUCUGGACAGACUCCACAACAUUCUCAUACCACCAGAGCGUAUGAAUGAUGCAGACCAUCAAAGAACCCGGUACGUUGUAGUAUGGGACAACAUGAGCUUUCAUUGUGCAGCCCCAGUCCAAAACUGGUUUGCUGACCACCCACCAUUUCUCGUGCAAUACCUCCCACCAUACUCACCAUUUCUGAACCUCAUAGAAGAGUUGUUUUCGGCAUGGCGAUGGAAGGAAUACGACUGGCAGCCCUUUGUGAACAUGCCUCUUGUGCAGGCUAUGGAAGAGGCACGUGAUGAGAUUGAUGUGGGUGCGAUUCAGGGAUGGAUAAGGCACUCAAGGCACUUCUUCCCUCGAUGUCUGGCAAGGGAAGAUAUUGCCUGUGAUGUGGACGAGGCGUUGUGGCCAGACCCAGCUGUGAUGUGGACAAGGCGUUGUGGCCAGACCCAGCUGUGAUGUGGACGAGGCGUUGUG